UGCUCAAACCACAAACAAUAGCAGGAGC
rnacentral:piRNA from 1 species